rnacentral:rRNA from 1 species
UACGUAGGGCGCAAGCGUUAUCCGGAAUUAUUGGGCGUAAAGAGCUCGUAGGCGGUUUGUCGCGUCUGCCGUGAAGGUCCGGGGCUCAACUCCGGAUCUGCGGUGGGUACGGGCAGACUAGAGUGAUGUAGGGGAGACUGGAAUUCCCGGUGUAGCGGUGAAAUGCGCAGAUAUCAGGAGGAACACCGAUGGCGAAGGCAGGUCUCUGGGCAUUAACUGACGCUGAGGAGCGAAAGCGUGGGGAGCGAACAGG